UACGUAGGGCGCAAGCGUUGUCCGGAAUUAUUGGGCGUAAAGAGCUCGUAGGCGGUUUGUCGCGUCUGCUGUGAAAUCCCGAGGCUCAACCUCGGGCUUGCAGUGGGUACGGGCAGACUAGAGUGCGGUAGGGGAGACUGGAAUUCCUGGUGUAGCGGUGGAAUGCGCAGAUAUCAGGAGGAGCACCGAUGGCGAAGGCAGGUCUCUGGGCCGCAACUGACGCUGAGGAGCGAAAGCGUGGGGAGCGAACAGG
rnacentral:rRNA from 1 species